CACGUAUACAUGUGCUGUGUACGAUCACUGUGCCGUCUACCUGUGUUGUUUUUGUACACGUGAGUAUGUUGUCACAUGUCACUUGUCUUACCUUGUUACGUCCAUAUAAGGUAAUUGUUCUAAAUAUAGGUGUUACCUCGUUUUCGUUAGUGGUCAGUCCAGUUGUCUUUGUAACAUGUUUUGGCGCGGUUUUUAGUAUUCGUUCAUAGACAGAGCUAAAGGGUGGAUGUAAUUUAUAUCCAGAAGUUUGAGUAUUGAGGUCUUUCUCUAGAUCUGAGAUGAUAGUUUUCGAUUGCGAACGCGCGUAUACAGAUCUUCAUUCGUGUAAACCCCCGACCCAUAGUUGGGGUUUUUUUGAUUAUGUUCCACAUAUUGUGGGAAUAAACCGGUAAACAAGAAAUCUGCCUCGACCUUGACUUUUCAUUCAACUUUACAUUGAGCCAAGGGAUAUAACUCUCCAAGCUGACCCUAUAUUCCGGAUUAGCGAGACCGGCUCGGAACAGAGACUAGAAUUACCCUUUUCAUGAUCAGUGGAAGUUGCUUCGCAGGUGGAAGAGAAACACAUGUCAAGCGCUCGAUAUGGAUGUGUUUUUAUGUAUUUUCAUGGAGUGUGGUGAUGUUCGUCAGUAAUUACCAACUUGGAAAAAAGAAGGAACAUUACCAGUAACCAGGUAUAUAUGUGAUACUUGUCAUCUAACAUUAUGCCGAUGGCCUGGCGGUUUUGUAUUGAUGUUUGACUGUUACCUGUUGAUCGUGACCAUCGUUAGUUUAGCCAUGCGAUGUGGUUCAGCGGACAAUCACAGUGUCACGCUAGGAUAUAGUGACUUAACGUUUGCGGAAGCAGUGAACUCUGAAUUUAUUCUUUUGUGCUGAUUUAAAAGACUGACAUUUUGUUCUUAAAAUACAAUUCUAUUUUUUGUUUCAAACAAUUUAAAUAAUAUUAGAAUUGAAUUGAUUAUACUGGUUUAAAUGUUAACUGUGUAAUAUUAUCGAAGCAUGAUUUUGUAAGUGUCGUAUUUUCGUGACUUUUUGUGCGUCGUAACUUCCGGUGUGUGUAGUAAACAUCCGGUACACGUGUGUUUGAUAUUAUAUGUCAACAAAGGUGAUCAGCUGUGUAAGGUUGACUAUAUUUUUGUUUCUACAUAUUUGCACAUGGGUAAUAUAUUUUGAAAGGGCUUUGUCACAUAUUUGAGUACAUUUUUCUAUUAUUAUUAGGUUUGCAAAAGACUUUCCAAAAAAUGUUUUGGGGGGAUAUUUGAAAUUCAUUCAGACAUAUUUUUUUUCUUUAUCAA